rnacentral:misc_RNA from 1 species
GUGAAUUAAUAGAGCGUCCUUUGGGAGCUCGAACAUCACUCUUAAACACCCACCGUGAACUGUAACCGUUUUUUUUACGCAUACAAGUAAAUAGCAAGUCUCCUGUGUAUUGCAGGUAAUAUAAAUAAAU